GAGCUCUCCAGAUCUUUGGGGUGGAACCCAGCGGAGCCACGCGGGAAAGAGCGAACUGGAGGGGCCAUCAGAGCCAUGAAGACCACCAGACCAACCAGAGAGCUCAUUUUACCCCCACUGAGGUUGUGAAGGACCCCUUUAAAAUUGGUUAUCAUAGAUGAGAUGCAUUAUGUGAAGAUGGAGAUGAUGAUGGAAGGCUGUUGAUGGAAGCCAACUGGUCAGGUUGACAUUAACCCAGUUUAAGGAGCCACAUAUGGGAAACUGCAGGAACUCUUGGUGUGGAUGGUUCCUCUUCAUGUGACAGCUCUCUUCUCCUUUACGGCUGUUU